GAGAUCCAAGCAAUAAAGGUUUACUUUGAGCCUCUAUCUGCACCGGCUUACUUAAUUUCGAACUUUGGCGUCUGCAGUGCGCGUCGUCUCUCAUCCACUGUGGACGUACACGCAGACUUGUGACAGCGGGACCGUGAAGAUGACAGAAAAGGAUCUCCGCCUCCCUGAUUAUAGAUGUCACAUGGCCUCCAAUUCCAGCCUUGGCGUACCACACUGAGACCCUGGUCCGCCUCUCAGGGGUGUAAUAAACAGCUUAAACCAGUCUACCAGCCAUCUCCAAUGUGUGGGUUACCAAAGAGGCCAUGCUUGACUGAAAGGUGGGGAUCAGUGAAGCUCUUCUGUGCCUUGGCUCCCCUGGCUUAAGGAGGGCUUAGGUGUGGAUGUCAUUUGCUUUUUCUUCCUGGUCAGAGUGGCUCGAUGAUAAUUGUGGGGUGUAGUGACUUUAGCUUCUGUUGCCAUGGGGAAAAAGUUUGCCUAAAUUGAAAUCUUAGUAGCGUGUCUGAGAAUCGGGACGACUUCAGCUCCAUGAAGCAGUUAUAAGACACAGCAUGGAGAAGAAUUUUGACUUUUGACGCAUUUCAUCAUCCACUGUGUAGUGUCUGCGUUGAACCUGAGUCCUUUCCUCUUAAUUUUAUUCCAUUUCACUGUUCAGUGGACCAACCUUGGAGGAAGCCACACUUUCAGCAAUGAGGUCAAUCUUAAAAUUCAACCUGCAUUCAGAUGAAUUCACUUAUAUCUGAUUUAAUGUCAAAGAGCUGGCACUGAUAGGUGAAUUAAGAAGAAACGAUCGUUAUGUAUUUCUAGAUAAUGUCAAGAACCGAAUCCAAGGGAUAUUGCUUUUGUAAUAAACAAGACAAAAAGCCAUUUCAAAUCCUCUGUGGUUUACGAAAGGUCCCGGUUAACAUCCGUCGUGGGCUUGGAAUCAAACGCCUGCACUGGCAUCGCCACGUGCUGAUAUGAUUUACCGGUAUUCUCUCCCUCAGGACCUUUCAAAUGAACAGAAAUGUAUGCUCAGCUGCCCUGUACAUGUAACCUCUGUGUUCUCUGCGGACCGCUGUGCUGUAAUAUGAUAAGUGUCUUGUCAAUAGCUUGUAUGAUAUGCUAAUCAUACUAAAACACCGUGCCUCAGGCGGUCCCCUUGUUUAUUUAUGAAGGCUUGACCUGAGGGAGAAGAAUAAUCGGCUUUUCUCUGAACUCUGUAACCCUGGGAGCCAAGGGAACUGCCAAUCACACACAUCUGAGUCCUAUAAUUCCCCCACCUCUUUUUCUCGCUUUUUCUGCUCCGCCUUGAAUGAAAUGGCAGAUUUAUGCAAACAGUGCCGCAUGUGCAUUUUUCCUGUCCGGUUCAUGUCAAAUCACUGCGGUAAGUAUAAAGUGGGUCUGACAUAAACAAGUUAUCUGUAGCCUGUCAAAUUGUUUCUGUCACAAUUUAGCAAAUGUAACACGUCAUGAUAAAUGCAAACCAAAUUAAAUUGAAGUCCAGUGGAGAACCUUGGGUUUUUUAACAAAAUAAUUACAAUUAGAAUAAUCAACAAGAAGACUGGCAUAUGUGUUGAUCUGAGGCAGGGGAUCACAAUAUGUGGCCCGCGGGCCACAUUCGUCCUGCCAUGGCUUUUCAUUUGACUUCCCAAACAUUAUCAUAACAAUGUAAACCAUUUAGUCUAAUUUCAUCUAGUCCUUUCUACACUCUGCAGGGGGCAACAGUGAGGAGUAUGCGUCACAGGCUCAUGUUUAAAGGGGAGCUAUUAUGCAUUUUUCCACUUUUCUGAUCUAUAAAUAUUGUUGGAUGUUGUAUCCUUGCGUUAAACAAUGCUAAAGUCUCAGAUAAUGAGGUUUGCACAUUUGCAAAUGAGCCCUGAGAGGGAUAGUCCUGAAUGCUUGGUUUCAGAGAGUUUUUUCCAACACCUUAUAUGGGCGUGCCCAGGUACAAGCUGUAGGCCUGCCCCCCACUGCUCUGCUGUUCAAGAACGCUAAGUUGCCUAAAAAGGUACACAUCAGGCAGACGUGGUUGGAGUGGCAGAUUCCUGGCCAGCAAGAGAAAAAUAUAGGACUGUUUUGUGAAGGUGGGUGAAGCUGGUAAAACUGUUGAUAAAGUCUGAUGCCUUACGAACCUUACUUGCUCACGUUGAAGAGGAGAGAUUAACUUAUUAUCAACUCUUAUACUGACAAAAUUACAAAGUGAGAUUCGGUAGUAGUCCCAAAGUCCUCGAGAGCGCUUAGGAGUGUGACCAAUCAAAGCAGAGUAGGUGGACCAUGGGUGGAGUAAAUUAAAACACAGUUUUGGAAUAGCUGGAAUAGGUGCAGAUUCUGGAAGAUCUAAAAUGUGUGGACUAUCGUGUGUAAUGGCUCUAUAGGAGUCGUCAAGUCAAGUUUAUUUAUA